AUGGCUGUCGUCAGCUCGUGUCGUGAGAUGUUGGGUUAAGUCCCGCAACGAGCGCAACCCUUAUAUUUAGUUGCCAGCACUUCGGGUGGGCACUCUAGAUAGACUGCCGGUGACAAACCGGAGGAAAGUGGGGAUGACGUCAAAUCAUCAUGCCCCUUAUGACCUGGGCUACACACGUACUACAAUGGCCGGUACAACGGGCUGCGAAAUCGCGAGAUGGAGCCAAUCCCAACAAAGCCGGUCUCAGUUCGGAUUGCAGGCUGCAACUCGCCUGCAUGAAGUCGGAAUUGCUAGUAAUCGCGGAUCAGCAUGCCGCGGUGAAUACGUUCCCGGGUCUUGUACACACCGCCCGUCACACCACGAGAGUUUAUAACACCCGAAGUCGGUGGGGUAACCGCAAGGAGCCAGCCGCCGAAGGUGGGAUAGAUGAUUGGGGUGAAGUCGUAACAAGGUAGCCGUAUCGGAAGGUGCGGCUGGAUCACCUCCUUUCUAUGGAGAAUCGUUUCCUGCAACGGAAACAUUCAAAUAAGCAGGUUCUCAGAACCUGCGACAGCUCUUCAUUUCGGUCCAUCACUUCGGUGUGGAUGGAAUGAAGAGCACAAACUACUCACUCGUUGCUCAGUUUUGAGAGCUCAAACUCUCAAACAGCUUACUUUUGCAUGGAGCUUGUUCUUUGAAAACUAGAUAUCGAAACGAAACAAACGCGAAUUAGAACAUUCCUUUUUAGCUGAACUUGUGUUAAACAAGUUUAAAUAAAAACGGUAGAUUGCACGUACGAUGGUAUCGAAUGGGAGUGACUUUUGGCUUUGCGCAAGCAAACCAAGGGAAGCGAGCAGUCGAAACCGGAGAACGAGGUUAAGCUACUAAGAGCACACGGAGGAUGCCCAGGCGCUAGGAGCCGAUGAAGGACGUGGCGAACAACGAAACUGCCUCGGGGAGCUGUAAGCAAGCUUUGAUCCGGGGGUGUCCGAAUGGGGAAACCCGG
rnacentral:sRNA from 1 species